CAAUGGCAAUAAACAUUUUCGCCCCCUAAAGUAUUGAAUGCUCAUUGUACUUAAGCUUAAUUUACAUAUGUCCUAUUUAAAUUUACGUAAUAGAACCCAAGUGAUGGCACAUGAUGAUGGCAUAAUCAGAUGCCGUGACAUUGAUCUCUUUAAAACAUCUGAUGACGCACGUCGUUACCUUAAAAAUCAUUGGCGCACUAUUAUUCAGUACGUACAACUUUUCAUUCCUGCCCAUUAAGGAUUAAGAGGAAAAUUAUCUCCGUUCUAUUUUUAGUAUAUUCCGAGCAUAUUAAUUUAACGUAGUACAUUCCGAUCACUUUAGCCAAUUAAGAAUAUUCUUGUUAUUGCUUUAUUAUUAUUUAAUGGUUAACGUAACUUAGAUGCCGAAUGACCCCGAGUGGUUCAUUGUUGCUUUUACACCGCAAAUGGUACAUUUAACAAAAUAUGGUUUAUGUAAACAGAAGGCAAAUGUUUUUGAGCAAAAGUACCUUGAAAGACCAAAUAACCGAGACACACUGAUAUAAGAGCUUCGCUUUAAUCUAAGCACCUAAAAAUACAUAUGACUCCAGCACUUAAUAUAUAUUAUAAAUAAAUAAUUAUUAUUAUAAAUAACACUCAUGCUCAAUUUUGUAAAAA